rnacentral:rRNA from 1 species
ACAAUAAGGAGCUUGCUCCUUUGACGUUAGCGGCGGACGGGUGAGUAACACGUGGGUAACCUACCUAUAAGACUGGAAUAACUCCGGGAAACCGGGGCUAAUGCCGGAUAAUAUUUAGAACCGCAUGGUUCUAAAGUGAAAGAUGGUUUUACUAUCACUUAUAGAUGGACCCGCGCCGUAUUAGCUAGUUGGUGGGGUAAUGGCUUACCAAGGCAACGAUACGUAGCCGACCUGAGAGGGUGAUCGGCCACACUGGAACUGAGACACGGUCCAGACUCCUACGGGAGGCAGCAGUAGGGAAUCUUCCGCAAUGGGCGAAAGCCUGACGGAGCAACGCCGCGUGAGUGAUGAAGGUCUUCGGAUCGUA